rnacentral:lncRNA from 1 species
UUUAUGCAUGAUGAUCAAGUAAAUCUGAAAAAGAAUUGUUGUGAUUUGAUCGUCAUCACAACCUACUGUAGCAACAGCUUCAUUACUUAAGUUGGGCGAAGCAGGCUGUUUUACUUCACUUAAAGCCUUUACCCGCUUCUUUCUCUUUCUUUUCUUUGAUCAGCCAUUCUAAAGCUUUCACCGAGCAAUCAUGUAACGAUGAUAUGU